AUUGAACGCUGGCGGCAUGCCUUACACAUGCAAGUCGAACGGUAACAGGUCUUCGGAUGCUGACGAGUGGCGAACGGGUGAGUAAUACAUCGGAACGUGCCUAGUAGUGGGGGAUAACUACUCGAAAGAGUGGCUAAUACCGCAUGAGAUCUACGGAUGAAAGCAGGGGAUCGCAAGACCUUGUGCUACUAGAGCGGCCGAUGGCAGAUGAGGUAGUUGGUGGGAUAAAAGCUUACCAAGCCGACGAUCUGUAACUGGUCUGAGAGGACGAUCAGCCACACUGGGACUGAGAAACGGCCCAGACUCCUACGGGAGUCAGCAGUGGGGAAUUUUGGACAAUGGGCGCAAGCCUGAUCCAGCAAUGCCGCGUGCAGGAUGAAGGCCUUCGGGUUGUAAACUGCUUUUGUACGGAACGAAAAGCCCCGGGUUAAUACCCUGGGGUCAUGACGGUACCGUAAGAAUAAGCACCGGCUAAUUACGUGCCAGCCGCCGCCGUAA
rnacentral:rRNA from 1 species